CGAUAUGGUGUUCCUGGGGGAGCCCGGGACCACCAGGUUGUCUAAGGAGGGGUGAACCGGCCCAGGUCGGAAACGAAGCAGGUCAAAUCCCCN
rnacentral:sRNA from 13 species